rnacentral:tRNA from 1 species
GAGAGUAUCACUUAAGUGGUAGGGCACAUGCUUAGCAUGCAUGAGGUCCUGGGUUCAAUCCCCAGUACCUUCA